AGGAUUUUCCUCCUGGACGAGGAAGACGCAAACAACUCUACGAGGUUUUUCUUCCCAGCAUUCUUCUUUGUUUUUAAUCUUUCAGUAUUUUCUUUUUUUAAGAGAUGAAGUCAACUUUCUGGAGGUUGAGGUGUCGGUCUCCAGAAUGUAGUCCCCGGAGGAACGCACGCUCUCGCGGCCUCAAGGGGUGGACAGAGUCUUGGCAAAGGGGGCCCUCGGAGGAUCUACGCCGUUAGCGGAGCUAAGUCCGCGGCUUCUAGGGCAGGAGGGGAGGAGCCUGGAAAGGCAGAGGAAACCGCUGGUUCAGACGCCGGUUCAACGACCGGCGUGGGACCCCCGAGUAGCUGGGGCGGGGUCACCAAGAGGAGACCCGGUGGGAGAGGGCGUGGCGAGCAGGUCGGGCGGGGACUUGUGGGCUCUCCUACUGGGGAGAAAGCGAGAGGCUCUGAGCGUGGGCCGCGGCGCGAGAGGGAGGUACCACGACUUAAUACUUCUGACUGGCCCGACGCGGGGGCGAGUGCAGAGAAGCGGAAAGGCCGGUGAGGAAAGGGGGAUUGCGUUCUCCCAGGAAAGAGAUAGUGAGCGCUUGGGCCCGGGGUUGUGGCAGUGCAGGGGGUGCGCAGUGGCCAGAUUCUGGUUGUAUUUUGAAAGUAGAGCCGCCGGCAUUUGCGGACAAUCGGGGAACAUAUGGGUGUGAAAGAGAAGAGUGGACGGUGACUCCAGCGGUUCUGGCCAGAGCUACUGGAAGGAAGGACACGGUUGUCAUAUUCUGAGUUGGGCGAGGACCAAGUUUGUCGAGGAGGCUGGAGGUGGAGGCGGAGCGAGGUGCGUGUUGCCCUGUUUGCAGCUCAGUUUAGGAGAGCACAAGCUAGAGAUGGCGCCCCAGAGAGUCAAGAGGAGGUGGCAGGUAGGCAGCUGGGUGUACCAGGCUGGACUGCAGCCUGGAGCUAUUUUGAGGACUGUCAGCAGAGAAGUGAGGACCCUCGGCCAGGAGUUGGGAGGAGCUCCCCAAGGGAGAGGGUGUCCAUCCGGCACAAGUAGAAGGGCGGAGCCGAGGCAUGAGCCCACAGUCAAGGACAUUAGAAGGACAGGCAGAAGGAAAAUCUGGAGAGCAAGGUGUUCUGGAAACCAAGCCCAGAAGGUAUUUCAAGAACGAGGGACCGCCCAACCCAGUAGAGAGCUGCUGAAGGAUUCCGGUGAGGUGGGGGGAUUGGAGAUGGACCUUGAGGAGAGCAGUGCACAAGAGACUGACUGGGGCAGGUUCAAAAGAGGGCAAGAUCCAAACCCAGGGUCAUUCUACAGAAUAAGUAUCCUGCAGUCUUCAAAGAAAGUGCCGGUUGUGAAAGACGGCGCAAAGGCAGAAGGGCACGGAACGAGAAUUGGCAACUAAAUGCAGCAAGGGAUUCCAGACUGGGUCCUGGGCCCGGAAAACAAAUCUCUCUAAAGGACGCUUUGGGAUAGCUGGAGAAAUCUGAACUUGGGAGUGUAGCUUAUAGUAUGGUGUUCAUGUCAAACUUCCAGAUGGCCAUGUUCCCAGGAAACACACACUUAAGUUUAUCUGGGGGGUGAAGGGACAUUGCAUGUGCAACCUACAAGUGGUUCAAUAAAGAAAAAUAUAUGGGUGGGUGUGUGUGCGUGGGUGUGUGUUUGGGGGGAGAAUAUUAUAAAAGGAGAGAGUUAUAAAGCAAAAUGUGGCCCUGUUGACGGUUGGCAGACCUGGGUAAAGGGUACGGAGAAAUUCUCUGUAUAACUCUUGUAACUUCCGUGUGUGUGUGUGUGUGUGUGUGUGUGUGUGUGUUUUGAAUGGGAGAUUGAACGGGGGCGGGGCGGGUCGCUUUACCAAUGAGCCAUAUCCCCAGCCCUUUGUUGAGACAGGGUUUCACUGAGUUACUUAGAGCCUCGCUCAAAUGCUGAGAAUGACCUGGAACUUGCUGUCCUCCUGCCUCAGCUUCCUGAGCCGCUGGGAUUACAGGAAUGCGCCACCACACCCCGCCAAGUGUGAAGUUAUUUUAAGAUUAUUUCAAUAAUGUAGAGAGAGGAUGAGAGGAAAGUUGGGAGGGAAAAAUAUAGACGACUGUUUGUGUUAUGGGCCAGGCUACAUGGGAAUGACCAAACAGACUUCAUUUUACUCUGAGACUCAUGUCAUAUAAGAAAUGCUUGUCCCAUGNCCCUGGGUUAAAUCCCCAGCACCACACACAGACACAAAAACAAACAAACAAACAAAAAAACAUGUUUUAUAGAAACCAAGACUCUAUUGUUUGAUCACCUAGAGAAAAGUGUGGGUUAAUAAUUGUAAAUACAUUUUUAUUUUGAUAUGCUUAAACCAAUUUAAAUUGAAUUUUUAAAGAAUGUUAUGUGGACUAAAAAGUAUUUGGGUCCAUGUAUUAAAUUUAAAAGUACAUUUAUUUAUAAUCCAAUAUUGAUACCACAUGCAUGACACACACAACAUAAUGCACAGAUGUAUAAAAGUACAUAUAAAACAAACAUGAAACAAAUAUUUUAUAGCUUUUUCUUGAGGACUAAAAACUCCAGUUGGACAAAAAAGACUAAUUGGAACAAAAUGUAUUAAUUUAGGCAUGCAGGACCAAAUGUGAAUUGAUCAUAGAAACUAUGAGCUUACACAAGACAGAGGUUUUGAAUAAAAAAUGACAUGGCCAUAAUUAUUCCCAAGCUGUUAUUAUUGUCCUUCAAAUUAUUCCUCGUCCUUCUGACCAUAACAAAAUGUGAAUAUUGUUUUGGUAGUGCUCUAGUUAUUUCCUUAGCUUGGAUAAUGAAGGAUACAGGGCAGGUGGAGGAGUAGGAGCCACUGUAGCUGGCUUAGAGUUCCUUCUCCCCUCAUUGUUGGCAUCAUUCCCAGAAGCAGAAGUCAGGGAAUUUUGACCAUGAGGAGGCUUAAAGUUUGAGUUGGAACACUGAAGGCAUUUGGAACGCUUCUUUUUUUUUUUCUCCAUCUCCCUCUACCUCCAAGGCCUCCAAUUGUAAGAUCUGUGGGAUCUAGAGGGCUAUUUAAAACUCAGUUGCCUCUUCACUUCAACACACACUUUUUUUUUUUAAGAGAGAGAGAGAGAAUUAUUUUUAAUAUUUAUUUUUUAGUUUUCGGCGGACACACAACAUCUUUGUUUGUACGUGGUGCUGAGGAUCGAACCUGGGCCACACGCGUGCCAGGCGAGCGCGCUACCGCUUGAGCCACAUCCCCAGCCCUGGAACGCUUCUUGAGUCUAAAUAAAACAACAGUAUUUCAUCCUCUCUUGGGUUCUUUUUCCCUUUUAACCUGUGGGAGGCCAACCUUAAGGGUGACUGAGUUACACUCCCCAGCUGGGUGCUGAAGCGCUCAGUCACAGAAAUGUGUGUGUCUUGCUGCAAGCCCCAUGGGUGAAGCUAUGCUCACCUGUUCCUUUGUAAUAGAACUCCUUGCCCUGUUUAGGAUAGAAUCUCCAUGGAAGUGCCUUGUGUGUGUCCCCUUCUCUUACUGUGCCCUUGGGUGUGGCCUACCCAGGUGUCAGUCAACCUGCUGACAGUGGACAUCAUGAAGAUAGACUCAGCCCCCUGAAACCUGACCCCUUGCCUCAUUUGAAUAGCUUCUCCUCAAUAAAAGGGGUCAGCGAGUGCUCUCGCUCUCUCUCUCUCUCUCUCUCUCUCUCUUUCUGCGGACCCUGAAGGUCAGAGGAGCCGUCACAGCAACCCCAAAGAAAAAGGUAUUUGUGUCUCUUGUGUGGUUAUUUCGUGCAGCCCAGUUAGCCCAGUUUAACUAGAGUGACCCCUGAGCCUUUUAGUCGCGAGAACAGAAACCAGGCAUUAACCUAGAUUUUUUUUUUUUUUUUUUUUUUUUUUGGUACCAAGGAUUGAUCUCAGGGGCACUUGACCACUGAGCCACAUCCCCAGCCCCUCUUUGUAUUUUAUUAGAGACAAUGUCUCGAUGAAUUGCUUAGGGCCUGCUAAGUUGCUGCAGCUGGCUUUGAACUCAUGCUCCUCCUGCCUCAGCCUCCUGAGCUUCUGGGAUUAUAGGCAAGCACUGCUGCACCUGAUUUAUCCUAGGACUUUCAAAAAAUGUUUUAACAAAGGGCUAUCUGGGGAAGUUUUGGGUCUUCCCCUGCCAGCAUCCUCUGUCUCUAGACCAGAUAUAAGUUUUCAAGCUGAGCUGCCCGUUAUAUUCUCACUCUGAUGAAGACAUGAAUUAGUGUGAAUAUACUUUGUAUACAACCAGAGAUAUGAAAAAUUGUGCUUCUAUAUGUGGAAUAAGAAUUGUAAUGUAUUCUGCUGUCAUACAUAAAUUUUAAAAAAUAGGGCUGGGGAUGUGGCUCAAGCAGUAGCAUGCUCACCUGGCAUGCGUGCCGCCCGGGUUCGAUCCUCAGCACCACAUACAAACGAAGAUGUUGUGUUCGCCGAAAACUAAAAAAUAAAUAUUAAAAAAAAAUUUUUUUAAAAAUAGUAAAAAAAAAAAAAAAAGUUCCCACUCUGAAAUGGUGUCACACUAUGAGGAUCACACACCUUUGUCCGCCUGACCACUCUCUUUCCAGACAUGUAGGUGCCUCUCAGCAUCAAUGGCAAGUCCGUAUAAGCCCCUGACAGACCAACCCUGCAGAGAGGGACUUUUGAUCCUCUAGGGGUUAGCACUGCCUUAAGCCUUAUGAGGUCACCAAGGAACUGCAGGUUAAGACUCACUCAGGCUCUGUAGCCUGAGGAAGGUAGAGCAUGAAUACACACACACACACACAGACACACACCCCAGAACUAACAAACAGACCUCCUGCAUAAGCAAACCCUGUUCUGAGGGAUACUCCUGAUGCUGGGGAGCAAUCAGUUUCCCCUUCUGCCAUAGGGUGGGACCUGACUUGGGCAGAUGCCCCCAGAGGACUUAUGGGUUUACAAUAUCCGAUCAUGAAACUUGCUUUCGUUCUCUUUGAGUUUGUUCAGGAAAUAGUGAGGCCAGCCUCACUCAAGUGAGAGUUGGGAUUCUGCAGGUGGCCAGGUGGUGACUAUCUGUCACCAGGCUGGUGGCUGUGGCUUUCUCUAGUUUCCCAAUAUCAGUGGCAAAAAGGGCCAGCUCAAUUGCCAUUUUCCUAGCCAACUCACCAACAUAUGUUACAUAAAAUUGUGGCACUGGAAAGACAAGCAGCAUUUGGGAACACAGAAGAGCAAGAUUUAUUCAGCACUGCUGAGGGCUCAGUGGAAUCUUUUCCAAAGGCUGAGCACAGACCCAGUAUCUUUAACAUAGUACAGACAGACUUUGGGUUUUAAGACUCUCCUGCAGUAACCUUGAUGUCUACCCAUUUCUCCAGGCAGAUCUGGAUCCUGCCAUAGCUGCUGAACAAGCAUGAUUAUAGAAUCAGAAAGUAGCAGGUUGCUUCACCAGCAACUCAGAGGCUGAGGCAGAAGUUUCCCAAGUUUGAGGCCAGCCUCAGCAAUUUAGUAAGACCCGGUCUCAAAACUUAAAGGAGUGGGGGAUUGUGGCUCAGCAGUAGAGCACUUGCCUAGCAUGCACAGGGCCCUGGGUUCCAUCCUCAGCACUACAUAAAAGUAAAUGAAUGGAAUAAAGGUAUUGUGUCCAACUAAAUAAAAUAAAUAUUUUUUAAGAAAUUAAAAAAAAACUUAAGAGACUGGGCUGGGGUUGUGGCUCAGUGAUAAAGUGAUUGCCUAUAAUGUAUAAAGCACCGGGUUCAAUUCUCAGCACCACAUAAAAAUGAAUAAAGGUCCAACAACAACUAAUAAUAUAAUAAUAAAAAAAAACUUAAAGGACUGGGGGAUGUAGCUCUCUUGAACACAUCUCGUGUGUGAGAGGAAAGAGUUCCCCUCUGGAGGGAUGGGCUGGCUGAGAAAUAAAAGCUAAGAAAAUAGUAAUACAAAAUAACCACAGGACACCAGAAAUAUAUUUUCAGAGUGGAGGAAGCGACCAGUGGAGUGGACCAUAGGGGUGCAGCUUCUAACAAAGAAGCCCACUCUUGCUUUAUAUCAGAACAGAGUAAAAGGAUUUGAUACAAACUUAUUUGCAAAAACAGGAUGGGUGAAGGGCAGGUAGAGUGCUCAGUUCUUAAUGGGUCACUCCCUGCACAGGAAAUUUGCCAAAGCUGGGAAGAAAUUCACAUGCACUAGGCCAUCUAAAAACCAGCAGGGGUGCCACUGGAAGUUCCCAGAUACCAGAUUUUUCUACUCAGUGGUUUUCAUGCCAGUCUUGUCCAUGCACAUUUCACAGGUGUCUUCCCAAAUAUCUCCCCCCCCUGCCCUUUUUUUUUUUUUUUAACUUUUUAAAUUCAAAUGAUGGGCUCUUAUUUGAGUUUCUGGAUUCUUAUUCUGAUACAAAGAAGAANUGUCCAACUAAAUAAAAUAAAUAUUUUUUAAGAAAUUAAAAAAAAACUUAAGAGACUGGGCUGGGGUUGUGGCUCAGUGGUAAAGUGAUUGCCUAUAAUGUAUAAAGCACCGGGUUCAAUUCUCAGCACCACAUAAAAAUGAAUAAAGGUCCAACAACAACUAAUAAUAUAAUAAUAAAAAAAAACUUAAAGGACUGGGGGAUGUAGCUCUCUUGAACACAUCUCGUGUGUGAGAGGAAAGAGUUCCCCUCUGGAGGGAUGGGCUGGCUGAGAAAUAAAAGCUAAGAAAAUAGUAAUACAAAAUAACCACAGGACACCAGAAAUAUAUUUUCAGAGUGGAGGAAGCGACCAGUGGAGUGGACCAUAGGGGUGCAGCUUCUAACAAAGAAGCCCACUCUUGCUUUAUAUCAGAACAGAGUAAAAGGAUUUGAUACAAACUUAUUUGCAAAAACAGGAUGGGUGAAGGGCAGGUAGAGUGCUCAGUUCUUAAUGGGUCACUCCCUGCACAGGAAAUUUGCCAAAGCUGGGAAGAAAUUCACAUGCACUAGGCCAUCUAAAAACCAGCAGGGGUGCCACUGGAAGUUCCCAGAUACCAGAUUUUUCUACUCAGUGGUUUUCAUGCCAGUCUUGUCCAUGCACAUUUCACAGGUGUCUUCCCAAAUAUCUCCCCACCCUGCCCUUUUUUUUUUUUAACUUUUUAAAUUCAAAUGAUGGGCUCUUAUUUGAGUUUCUGGAUUCUUAUUCUGAUACAAAGAAGAAUUAGUUGCAAACAUAUCAUUCCAAUAAUAUACCAUGCAGAAUAUUUCAGCAUAUUUCCAGGAUUAAAGCCAUUCAAUUCAUGAAGUAUUUGAUCAGUUAGAGAUGUAGAGUCCCUAAUAUCCAUUUUUCCUUUUUGAAUAUCCUGGAUGUGAUGAUGUAAUUCCAUAAAACCCAGGCUAUUAUUAUUGCUCUGCCAAAAACCCAUUAGAUGAUUUUUAACCUUUUCCCCAGUCUCACUGGGAAGCUUGUGUGGGCCAUCAUCCUUGAGCUGCAUGUGGACCACCAUGCAUUGAGCCUAGUGGAUAGGAAUGUCUGGUGUCUGUGAAUGACCAGUGCAUAUUUCCUUUGGUUUAACUGCCCUGACACACUGUGAAUUUUCUUUUUUUUUUUUUAACAUUUUUUAGUUGUUGAUGGACCUUUGUUUUAUUUACUGGUAUGUGUUGCUGAGAAUCGAAUCCAGUGCAUCACACAUGCCAGGCAAACGCUCUGCCACUGAGCUACAAUCCCAACCCCACAUUGUGAAUUUUCUCUCCCUCUCUGCCAUGUCCCACACAGCACCCAAGAAGGGUCUGACCUGCGAAGAUGCCAAUCAACCUGCUGACUGCAAGACAUCACAAAGCAAGACUCCACCUUUGAAACUUUAUCCAUGCCUUUGAUGUACCCCCUGAAAUCAUUGGGGCCAUCUUUCCUUUGUCUAGUUGCAACUCUUUUUUUUUAAGAGAGAAUUUUUUUAAUAUUUAUUUUUUAGUUAUUGGUGGACACAACAUCUUUGUAUGUGGUGCUGAGGAUGGAACCCGGGCUGCAUGCAUGUCAGGCGAGCGCACUACCUACCGCUUGAGCCACAUCCCCAGCCCCAUAGUUCCAACUCUUAUGUGGACUGGAUCUAUCAGGGGCUUCAUUUUUUUAAAAAAGUUUUUUUUUUCUAAUUUGUUAUAUAUGACAGAAAAAUGUAUUUCAAUUCAUAUUCCACAUAUAGAGCACAAUUUUUCAUAUCUCUGCUUGUAUACAAAGUAUAUUCACACCAUUCAUAUCUUCAUACAUGUCUUAGGGUAAUGAUUUCCAUCUCAUUCCACCAUAUUUCCUAUCCCCAGGCCCCCUCCCUUUCCUUUGCCCUAUCUAGAGUUCAUCUAAUCCUCCCUUGCUCCCCCUCCCAACUCCACUAUGAAUCAGUCUCCUUAUAUCAGAGAAAAUAUUUGACAUUUGUUUUCUUGGGGGAUUGGCUAACUUCAUUUAGCAUUCUAUUCUCUAACUCCAUCCAUUUACCUGCAAGUGCCAUUAUUUUAUUCUCUUAUUGCUGAGUAAUAUUCCAUUGUGUAUAUAUGCCACAUUUUCUUUAUUCUUUCAUGUACUGAAGGGCAUCUAGGUUGGUUCCACAGUUUAGCUCUUGUGAAUUGUGCAGCAAUAAACAUUGAUAUCAGGGGCUCCACUUUUGUAAAUACAUUUCUGACUCUGUCUUUUGUUCUUCACUAAUUAUUUUAGACUUUUAAGUUCUCAGGUGGCUUACACCCUUCUGAACAAGAAGAACUCCCUAAUGAGAUGCUGGCUAUUGUUCCCUAUAGGAACAUUAUAUUUGGCUGCAGUAACACAGACAUAUUUCUAGUCAGCAUGGCAUUUAAGCCUUUAUUUAAACUUGAGCGCGCAUAGCUCAUUACUGAUAUUUAUGACAGUAGCUUCCAAGGCAUUCAAUUUAGUUUCACUCUUUCUAUCAGUAUUUAUCUGAUAAUGGAGGGCUUUGGAAGUAUUUUGAGCCAAAUUAUUGAGAAAAUUUGCAUAUUGAAUGUUCUGAGAUAGAGCCACUGACCUUGUUACAGUAAAAGCUGUAAAUGAGAUUAAAGCAGCCACUCCAAGAAUUAGGAGACCAAGAGCUCCUUUAGGUCUGGUUAACUGAACAUGGAUCUGUUGUAGAACUUGAACACCAGCAUCAGCAUACCAUGGUUCUGAAAUGUUGACUGGUAGUAAGACAAAGGAGGGUUGGUGAAGGAUUAACAUCUCUAUUAAAUCUAUUGAUGUAAUUAGUUAGAUUGCAUCUUUUACAGGCUAUAAGUAUAUCUAUAUUAUUCUUAAGUCUUACAUUUCCAGUAAUUAAAGCAUAAGGAAAUUCAACACAGGUUCAAAAGCCAUAGCAGGGACCCUCUUUGCAAUUCCUGCCAACAAAGUCAGGAAGAGGGCCAUCUGUAUAGUGUAGACACUGCAAUUAAACACCAGAGAUCUUUUUGAAUAAUGCCUUUGCUGAAGGUUAGAAUAUUAUCAACAAAACAUCCAGGGGUCAUGGCAUCCUUACAUAGUUAUCUUUUAUCAAUUAUUGAAGACCAGUCCAAAAUAUAUCCACUAUUUUUAGAAACUAUCUGUACUGACUGGCAAGACAUUUACACAUUCCAUCCAUUAAGGAAAUGUGCCAAAUUUUUACAUAAAUAUAAUUAUAUAGAUAAAUAUAUAUAUAUAUAUAUAUAUAUAUAUAUAUAUAUAUAUAUAUAUAUAUUAGUUGUAGAUGGACACAAUAUCUUUAGUUUAUAUAUAUAUGUGGUGCUGAGUUUUAAAUCCAGUGCCUCAUGCAUGCAAGGCAAGUGAUCUACCACUGAGCUACAACCCCAGUCCCAAAAUGUGCCAAAUUCUAUUGCAGAAUGAUUAGAGCAAUAAGGUAGUGGUAGUUUUGUUCUGUUGAAAUGACUGGCUUUUUAUGAAAAAGUCCAUAUAGUCCACAUAUAUAUGGACUAUAUGGACUGUCUCAUAAAAAUCUGGGAAAUAGGUCCAAUAAAUUUCUCCAUAGACCCCACUUACCUGACAACUCAAUAGAUCUAUCAUGGUCAUAAACAUUGUGGUUGGAAACUUAAUUUCUCCUUGUUGUUGAAUCAUCUGCUCAGCUUUUGCAUCAGAUUCUUCAGUUAUUUCCAUGAUGGUAGUUUGAGAGUUUGGUCUCUCAGGGUCUUUUUCAUUAUUUUCCUCCUUACUAGCUUCCUGUUCCUGCUGGGAGUCAGGGUUGACAUCUCUGGAUCUAUCUUUAGUGAUUUGAACCUUGGCUCCAUGUCCUCCAUAUAUGAUGGUACCCAAAUAACACCUUAUGGUAACUUCUGGGAAAAACCAAUCAUGACCUAUACCCCACAUUAUCACUGGAUCUGAUCCUUUCCACUGUCCUGUUGUAAAUCUUUUCAUCAAACUAGGCCCAAAAAACCUACGGCAGUAAUGCAACCUUCAGUGAAUGAACAAUGAUUAAGGUUAUUUUGUGGAGUCUUUUUUUUUUUUUUUUUAACAUGUGUGCUGUAAUUGAUAGAAUCAUUCAACAAAUCUUGCUUGUUACCAUUUCUGUUACAAACUUCUCAACAAAGUCUUUUUUUUUUUUUAAAGAGAGAGGAGAGAGAGAGAGAGAGAGAGAGAGAGAGAGAAUGUAUUUAUUUAUUUUUAGUUUUUUGGCGGACACAACAUCUUUGUUUGUAUGUGGUGCUGAGGAUCGAACCCGGGCCGCACGCAUGCCAGGCGAGCGCACUACCGCUUGAGCCACAUCCCCAGCCCUUUUGUGGAGUCUUAUUUCCCCACCUUUUGCUUUUGUAAUUGUGGUUUAAUAGAUAAAUUCAAUAGGUUUAGCACCUCCAACCUUCUAUGCAUUAUCACUAUUAAAUAAAACUUAUAAAUCAAUAUAACAUGCCGUCCUCAGUUAUCAAUGAUGAGGACUGGGUCAUAACAUUGCCCUCUAUACAAAAACAAAACCUCCCCGCAGGAACCAAGAAACGCUCACGUAGAGAAAACUCCCAUUACACUCUUCAGUGGAGCCUUAGCCCCUGCUUUGGCCGUGCUUUUUAGAAGGACGGGAACCCAAUGGUGCCCCUGCGAGAAUACAUUAAGACUUUUGCAGCAGGCCAGCUGAAAACAGGAACGAAAAAGAAACAAAUGCUGCGUCCCUCCUAAAUGUAGCAAACUGAAAACAUAAAAAAAGAAACACACUAUGGCAGUUUCCAACCCAGCCGCCGAGAACACCACAACCAUACAAGUAAAGACAAUCUUAUUUUAGACUCACGAAUUUAUCCCCCGAGGGGGGUGCACCGUUCCUGGAAGUACUGCAAUACCAGGUCGAUGCGUGGAGUGGACGGAGCAAGCUCCUAUUCCAUCUCCCUGCUCCAAAAAUCCAUUUAAUAUAUUGUCCUCGGAUAGAGGACGUAUCAGAUAUUAAACUGAUAAGAACAGAUACUACACUUGAUCUUAGCCAAAAGGCCGAGAAGCGAUAACGGGUUGAUGACCGGCACCCGUUCCACUCGUCGCGCCACACAUCUUCAGCUCACGGUGAGAACCGUCACGCUCAAUUAAAGACUCACCCUCACGCGAGUGUGACUGUGCAUAAAGGAUUCAACUUGGAAAACAUAAAAAUGUUGUCAGAUUAUUGCUAUUCGGGGGGAAACUUUCACCUUUUUCUUUGCUCCCAUAGCUCCCAGGAGAAAGAGACACUGUAAAUUUGCAUGUCCCGCCCCACACAAGCGGUGCCGGGCCUUCGGUGCCCGCCCUCUCGCCUUGAAAUAGAACACCGCCUCUAAAACAAUUUGCUAGAAAGCUCUUCCGGCCUCAUUGCCCCGGAACCAGGAUUUUCCUCCUGGACGAGGAAGACGCAAACAACUCUACGAGGUUUUUCUUCCCAGCAUUCUUCUUUGUUUUUAAUCUUUCAGUAUUUUCUUUUUUUAAGAGAUGAAGUCAACUUUCUGGAGGUUGAGGUGUCGGUCUCCAGAAUGUAGUCCCCGGAGGAACGCACGCUCUCGCGGCCUCAAGGGGUGGACAGAGUCUUGGCAAAGGGGGCCCUCGGAGGAUCUACGCCGUUAGCGGAGCUAAGUCCGCGGCUUCUAGGGCAGGAGGGGAGGAGCCUGGAAAGGCAGAGGAAACCGCUGGUUCAGACGCCGGUUCAACGACCGGCGUGGGACCCCCGAGUAGCUGGGGCGGGGUCACCAAGAGGAGACCCGGUGGGAGAGGGCGUGGCGAGCAGGUCGGGCGGGGACUUGUGGGCUCUCCUACUGGGGAGAAAGCGAGAGGCUCUGAGCGUGGGCCGCGGCGCGAGAGGGAGGUACCACGACUUAAUACUUCUGACUGGCCCGACGCGGGGGCGAGUGCAGAGAAGCGGAAAGGCCGGUGAGGAAAGGGGGAUUGCGUUCUCCCAGGAAAGAGAUAGUGAGCGCUUGGGCCCGGGGUUGUGGCAGUGCAGGGGGUGCGCAGUGGCCAGAUUCUGGUUGUAUUUUGAAAGUAGAGCCGCCGGCAUUUGCGGACAAUCGGGGAACAUAUGGGUGUGAAAGAGAAGAGUGGACGGUGACUCCAGCGGUUCUGGCCAGAGCUACUGGAAGGAAGGACACGGUUGUCAUAUUCUGAGUUGGGCGAGGACCAAGUUUGUCGAGGAGGCUGGAGGUGGAGGCGGAGCGAGGUGCGUGUUGCCCUGUUUGCAGCUCAGUUUAGGAGAGCACAAGCUAGAGAUGGCGCCCCAGAGAGUCAAGAGGAGGUGGCAGGUAGGCAGCUGGGUGUACCAGGCUGGACUGCAGCCUGGAGCUAUUUUGAGGACUGUCAGCAGAGAAGUGAGGACCCUCGGCCAGGAGUUGGGAGGAGCUCCCCAAGGGAGAGGGUGUCCAUCCGGCACAAGUAGAAGGGCGGAGCCGAGGCAUGAGCCCACAGUCAAGGACAUUAGAAGGACAGGCAGAAGGAAAAUCUGGAGAGCAAGGUGUUCUGGAAACCAAGCCCAGAAGGUAUUUCAAGAACGAGGGACCGCCCAACCCAGUAGAGAGCUGCUGAAGGAUUCCGGUGAGGUGGGGGGAUUGGAGAUGGACCUUGAGGAGAGCAGUGCACAAGAGACUGACUGGGGCAGGUUCAAAAGAGGGCAAGAUCCAAACCCAGGGUCAUUCUACAGAAUAAGUAUCCUGCAGUCUUCAAAGAAAGUGCCGGUUGUGAAAGACGGCGCAAAGGCAGAAGGGCACGGAACGAGAAUUGGCAACUAAAUGCAGCAAGGGAUUCCAGACUGGGUCCUGGGCCCGGAAAACAAAUCUCUCUAAAGGACGCUUUGGGAUAGCUGGAGAAAUCUGAACUUGGGAGUGUAGCUUAUAGUAUGGUGUUCAUGUCAAACUUCCAGAUGGCCAUGUUCCCAGGAAACACACACUUAAGUUUAUCUGGGGGGUGAAGGGACAUUGCAUGUGCAACCUACAAGUGGUUCAAUAAAGAAAAAUAUAUGGGUGGGUGUGUGUGCGUGGGUGUGUGUUUGGGGGGAGAAUAUUAUAAAAGGAGAGAGUUAUAAAGCAAAAUGUGGCCCUGUUGACGGUUGGCAGACCUGGGUAAAGGGUACGGAGAAAUUCUCUGUAUAACUCUUGUAACUUCCGUGUGUGUGUGUGUGUGUGUGUGUUUUGAAUGGGAGAUUGAACUGGGGCGGGGCGGGUCGCUUUACCAAUGAGCCAUAUCCCCAGCCCUUUGUUGAGACAGGGUUUCACUGAGUUACUUAGAGCCUCGCUCAAAUGCUGAGAAUGACCUGGAACUUGCUGUCCUCCUGCCUCAGCUUCCUGAGCCGCUGGGAUUACAGGAAUGCGCCACCACACCCCGCCAAGUGUGAAGUUAUUUUAAGAUUAUUUCAAUAAUGUAGAGAGAGGAUGAGAGGAAAGUUGGGAGGGAAAAAUAUAGACGACUGUUUGUGUUAUGGGCCAGGCUACAUGGGAAUGACCAAACAGACUUCAUUUUACUCUGAGACUCAUGUCAUAUAAGAAAUGCUUGUCCCAUGGGAAAGCCCCGCCCUCUGUACCCAUCAACAGUUAGUUUAGCAUGUUUGGCAACACAAAAUGGCAAUUCCUAUACAAUGUAAAAUUUUUCUCUCUUUGGUUCCCAUUUUGCUUGGACAAUGUACCCUCUCAGAGCAUGAUUGCUCAGCCGUUAGUAACCAUUCUUUAACUUGUACUCAACUAGGGUGGUUUUGACCCACUUCCCCUUCUCCUUAUGAUUUUGGAUCCCAUGACAUUUGUUUGUGGUUUUGAAUCAUAGCAACAGCCACUUAUGAUUAAUAUGGUUUUGGACUAUAAAAGGUGUACUCAAACCCCAGGAGGGGGUCGAAGGGUGUGGACUUGCAGCCUGGCCCUUGGCCUGCCAGCUGGUGGGUCCGGACUGCCGGCUGGUGAAUACAGAUGGUUCCGUCUCCUGCUUUUCGGUGAUUUAUUGCAACCUCGCCAUAACAUUUGGAGGAAUUUUCCUGCAAAAAGAGAAAUGGGGUGGUAGCUAGAGGGUGAAGUAGGUAGAGUUUAUGUUAAGGAGGAAAGAAAUAAUACAACUUACAUCCUGGUGGAAGAAGUCCAAUCCAGAAGCGAAUAUCGAUGAGGAGGGAGAAGAGAGUAGGAGAGAGUUGCCAGUGGCAAGGAGGGGUGCCCAGGUGCAGGGCAGGCCUUUGCCAGGAGCUGUGGCGGCUCAUCUGCAGCACCUGGGGGUGGGAGUGGGGUCACAGAUUUAAGAGGUGGGUGGAUACGUCCUGGGAACUCCUGGAAGCCUCCUGAUUGUAUCUGCAGGAUUUCCUCCUUGGGAAGCAAGGUAGUCAGUCAGCUGAGAGGGGGGCAGGUUGGAGAGGAAAGUAAGAAACAGAUGUCUGGAAAAGUGGAAGAUGAAUGGAGUAGGGAAGAAGAAGAUGAGUUAGCUGCUCUGCUCUGAGGGCAAAGUUACUCACCCCUUCUUCAACCUCCAGGGUGCGCGGGAUCCAGGGUUAUAGUUGUUCUUUGUUGUGGAUUGAAUGUUGAUGUCCUGCCCCCAGCCCCAACACCCAUUCCUGUGUAAAGGCCUAAACCCCCACUGGGGCUGUGUUUGGAUCUGGGGCCUCUGUGUAAGAAAGCGAUUAAGGAUAAAUGAGGUCAUAAGGGUGGGACCCUCAUCCAGUAGGAUUCCUGUGUUUAUAUGACAUCACAGGAAAGGGGCAAGGGAGCUGAGAAAAUAUGCAAAGAAAUUAAUCCAGGUAAAUGGAGAUGGAGGGAGCCUGGGGGCAGGGGAAGGGGAGGCAGAGGAAGAAUAGUGAAAGGUGGCAACUGGAAGGUGGUUAGAGAGUGUCAUACUAGAAGUGGACAAGGUUUAUAGCAGUUGUUAAGGACAAGAUCCAGAGCCAGACCACGGGAGUGGUUGGCUGGGGUAGGCCCAACGUCCAGCAAAGGUGUUGGAGAGAUAUUUGAUAGACAAAAAAUAGGAAAGAGUGGCUCUGGCCUGAUCAAGGAGCAACAGUAGGCGGGUACCUGGGAUAGGCUCGAGUGGUUGCUGAACAGGGAAAUGGAGGAACACGGGCUCAGGAGCCCAAUCGCCCCUCAAAAGAAAGAAAAGAAGAGCGGAAAAAGCAAAGAAGCAAGAAACGCACAGAGAAGAAAAUAAGCAGCAAAGAGAAUAAACAAAAGGGAAGACAGACCUAGAAAGGCAAAGUUCACUUAAACUGCUUUUGAACACUUCAUGGGUGAGGAGUACACCGGUCCUGGAAGUACUGCAAUACCAGGUCGAUGCGUGGAGUGGACGGAGCAAGCUCCUAUUCCAACUCCCUACUCCAAAAAUCCAUUUAAUAUACUGUCCUCAGAUAGAGGACGUAUCAGAUAUUAAACUGAUAAGAACAGAUACUACACUUGAUCUUAGCCAAAAGGCCGAGAAGCGAUGCCGUCCCACUCGCCCCUCGCCCUCACCGUCCUCCGCUGGCUCACUUUUAACUCGCGGUGAGCACCACGAUGCCUACUCCUACUCUCUUUUUCCUGGUGUCUCCUUGGGCAUCCCAUCGGGCCUACUAGACCUUCGUGAAGGUUCCCGAUUGGCCCCUUAGAUCGAGGAAUUUUAGCUGCCCUUGGCGGCUCUGGCGUUCAGGGGCGGGGGCGCCCUCCAAUACUUUGCAUGUCCCCGCCCCCUCACCGGAAAGGCGUGGCUACCGUGGGUCCCUUCCACCUGGCGACCGCUUCCAGGUCUCCAGGCAGCCCAGGGCGGGCUCUGCUCCCACUUCCAGACAUACCGAGACCAGAGAGGACCAGCGACUGCCGCUGACUCCGAGUCCAAGUCGGAGCCAGGAGCUCCGGAAAGCCAGAACUCGGUUUUGUUCCACGCACCUACUUCACACUCAAUCAGUAACUCUUCAGUGAAUGAGAUCGUGCCUCCCACACGCUCGGCCAAACCCCGACAAAUCGAGCUUGGGAUGGCUCCUUCUCAGUACUUCCCUGCUUCUUCAGGCCAUCUGCCCAAUGAUUCGCGUCCCCGUGUGCUUUCAUCCCGAGAAGGGGACGUCGCGGCUCCCCUUCACUGGAAUGGAACGCUUCCCGCCUCAAAUGAUUGACCUUUCGGUUUUCUCCUUGUGAUUCACUCCCGUGGAGUUUGCUCAGAUCCACGUGCACUCAAUGGGCUGGGCCCUGGUCGCGCUGUGUGCAGAGGUUGGCCGGAUGUCCUUGUGCUUUUAAUGAAAGCGCACCGCGGUGUCCUGGUGAUCCCGACCACCCUCGCUGCACCUGAACCUUGAAUUUCUAGGGGAUCCAGAACGUGGAGGGAGUUCUCAGGCAGCGCCACUCGCUCCAGCCUGGUCCUCAACACCUCAAACUUGGGAUUGCUUGCUUUGGGGCGGUCUGGGCCGGGGAUGGGGGCAGGUGGAAAACAGUCUAAGGCAAUAGAUACUUUUUUUUUUUUUUUGGUACUGGAGACUCAAUUCACGACCCUUAGCCACUGAGCCACAUACCCACCCCACCCCACCCCCUUUAAAAAAAAUUAUUUUCUAGUUGUACACAAUAACUUUAUUUUGUUUAUUUAUUUUUAUGUCGUGGGAGGCCAACCUUACACGUGACUGAGUUACACUCCCCGACUGGGUGCUGAGGCGCUCAGUCACAGAAAUGUGGCACCCUUCUUGGAUGCGAGGGUCGGUGUCUUGUGCAUGGGUGUGUCUUGCUACAGCCCCAUGGGUGAAGCUAUGCUCACCUGUUCCUUUGUAAUAGAACCCCUUGCCCUGUUAAGGAUAGAAUCUUCCAUGGAAGUGCCUUGUGUGUGUCCCCUUCUCUUACUGUGCCCUUGGGUGUGGCCUACCCAGGUGUCAGUCAACCUACUGACAGUGGACAUCAUGAAGAUACUCAGCCCCCUGAAACCUGACCCCUUGCCUCAUUUGAAUAGCUUCUCCUCAAUAAAAGGGGUCAGCGCGUGCUCUCGCUCUCUCUCUUUCUGCGGACCCUUAAGGUCAGAGGAGCCGUCACAGCAACCCCAAAGAAAAAGGUA
rnacentral:lncRNA from 1 species